rnacentral:rRNA from 1 species
CCUACGGGAGGCAGCAGUGGGGAAUAUUGCACAAUGGGGGAAACUCUGAUGCAGCGAAGCCGCGUGAGUGAAGAAGUAUUUCGGUAUGUAAAGCUCUAUUAGCAGGGAAGAAAAUGACGGUACCUGAUUAAGAAGCCCCGGCUAACUACGUGCCAGCAGCCGCGGUAAUACGUAGGGGGCAAGCGUUAUCCGGAUUUACCGGGUGUAAAGGGAGCGUAGACGGCAGCACAAGUCUGGAGUGAAAUGCCGGGGCUUAACCCCGGAACUGCUUUGGAAACUGUGCAGCUAGAGUGCAGGAGAGGUAAGUGGAAUUCCUAGGGUAGCGGUGAAAUGCGUAGAGAUUAGAAGGAACACCAGUGGCGAAGGCGGCUUACUAGACUAUAACUGACGUUGAGGCUCGAAAGCGUGGGGAGCAAACAGGAUUAGAUACCCGUGUAGUC